GCAUGGUCAGCAUGGGAUGGGGGACAGGAGGGGAUAGCAGUGGACACAGGAAAGUUCCCAAGUGAAGUGUGAAUGUGCUCUGCAUCACCACUGGGGCGAUGAUCUCCACAGCCCCACAAAGACUGCACCUUGCAGUCACCACCUGCUGUCCCUUCCCUCUAGGUCGCAGCACCGAACACUGCCCUUUGCGAUUGAGUGCAGUAUCUGAGUGUGAACAGUUGUCCCUGAGCACCUGCAAGUUACAACCUGCUAUGAAUCCUCCACACCCGGCCAUCCAGAGGUUAUAAUUUGAAACUAUUUUAUUCUUUUAGGAGAAUUACUAUGGACAUUUGUGGAACAUCUCUAUGGACCCUAUUGGAAUUGAAAUGAAACUGAAAAAAAUCCUCCUAAAAUCUGACAGAUCUCUAAGUGAUGACUCUGAGCAUUAUAUCUUGAGAGAGAACGAAUCCCUUGGAUGGAAAAACACACCUCCUACUGUGCCUGCAGCUACGUAUUUGUUGCAAUAAAACUUAAACUUCACCAAAGUCUCACAUCCCAGACAGCUUUCCUAGUUUCUCACUGCUGUUUCUAAGGAACACACAGAUAUAUUCCACUGUGAAAAGGAAGGGGCCAUAGGGUCUUCUUCUCAGAAGGAAGGCUCAGCUCAUGGACCCCAGCACAUGACCUCACUUCCUUGGCGACAGGUCCAAACAGAACUCGGAACAGUCUAGCAACGGCUGCCCAACAAUCACUUGGCUGAAGAGAGUCGGUAGCAAACAUGCUGUGCUGCUUUUCCAGGCCUCAAGGCCGCAGCCUCAAGACCCCACACGGGAAAAGCACUUGGGAAUGGGUGAGAGGAUGGAUCACUGGGUCCAGACACUCCAGGCCACUGGGCAGGAACCACCCAGUCCUCAGGAGCAGCCCAGGGCAGGUCUCCCUGGACAGUUUCCACAUCUAUGGGCCCUCUGUCCCAGAGCCCAGAAGGGCCUGCAUUUCCUCCCCACUGGAGGGGAUGGUGGAAAGGCCCAUAUCUUCUUCCCUUUACUCCUUGCUGGAGCGGCACACCCAGGUAUAUUACACUGUCAGAGAUCUCCUGGACCAGCUGGAGCGAGAUGACCUUACUGAGGCAGAGGCCAAGGGUGAGGAGGACUGUGGCAUGAGGCUGUGGGCAUGUGGGGAGGGAUGGGCCUUUGGACACAGAGAGAGCACCCUGGUGCUGGGUGUUGCAGUAGCCUUGUGACACUCAGCAGUCAGUGGGCUGAUGCAGUCUGGGGGGACUUUCUGGGGGAGGCUUCCUGCACAGAGCUGACAGGCAGUGGGAUGGUUGGUUGUGCCCCAGGAAGGAACAUGGACAGUUGGUGAACUUUUCUUCUCUUUCAACUCCAAGAACAGCUCCAGUCAAAGCUGAAGUCCCAGCUGCAGAGCCUGUGCCAGCUCCACCUGCAGCUCCCUUCCCAGCUCUGGCACCACAGCCAGAGUAAGCAC
rnacentral:lncRNA from 1 species